ensembl:lncRNA
UCACAGUUCCAGUGGGUCAGAAGUUUAUAUACACUAGUUGAACAGCUUAGAAAAUUCCAUAAAUGUAUGUCAUGGCUUUAAAAGCUGCUGAUAGGCUAAUUGACAUAAUUUGAGUCAAUUGGAGGUGUACCUGUGGAUGUAUUUCAAGGCCUACCUUUUUCAUCCUUGGGAGCAAUAAUACCUAAAUUUUAAUACCUAAAUGUACCACGUUCAUCUGUUCUAACAAUAGUACACAAGUACAAACUCCAUGUGACCACACUGUCAUCAUACUCCUCAGGAAGGAGAUGCGUUCUGUCUCCAAGAGAUGAACGUACUUUGGUGUAAUAACUCUACCAUACAAAGAAGGUUUCCUUUACAGCUUUUUGCGGAGGGACAUUAAACGACUGAGGGCCUGGUCCCUGUUGUUGGGCAAACACUGUCUGGGGUUGCGGAAUGGGAGUGGAGCUACCCAAUUAUUCGAAUCAUCUUUUGUUAAGUCUUUGUGCAUGAUGUCCAAGAACAAAGCAUCUUCUGCUGAAAGUGCCACUUUGUCAUCAUCUGCUGUUUGCUGGAAAAUGUGUCUGCCCAAUUCAACUUGUGUCUUAUCAAGUGUAUGACAGCUUUCUGUGUAUUUGUCUUUGAUGUAGAUUUUGUUUUCACAGGGGCUGAGGAAAGUAGGGCGACCGUUGUCAAGAAUGUUUGUCUUAAAAGAGUUCACUGUGGGUUUGUGGGCACCCGAGAGGCAGACAUCACCUAUAACCACCCAUCGCAGAUCAAGGCGUUGGGCAUAAGGCGCACUGUUUGGGCCAUUCACCUGACUGCGGACCUUGUGAGCUUGGAUGAUGUCCCUGCCCAAGAGGAGAAGGAUUUCUGCUGAUGGGUCCAGAGGAGGAAUCUGCGAAGCGAUUGCCUGUAGAUGAGGGUUAGCCGACGCAGCCUCAGAGGUGGGAAUCUCGUCCCUGUUAUCUGGAAUCUGAUCACAUUCUGUUAGUAUGGGCAGCAGCAUGGACACUUUUCCAUUUGCAUCCUCAAUAACAAAGUCACUAGCUCUGCGCCCUCCAGUCUCCGAUAGACCAGCGCAUGUUUUCAUGGUGUAUGGGAGUAUGGUACCUUUUACAUUAAACAUGUCAAAGAAGGCAGACCUGGCUAAGGAUGCUUUGAUCAUCUAACAUGGCGUACAUCCUCCUUUUCUCUUCAGGCGAAGUGCGGGAAUACACAUUGACUAAGCAAAUCUUAGAGCAGGAUUUACCUUUGAGGCCUCGGCCACACACUUCUGUGCAACUAGUUGUAGUUGCAGGGCUUGGGGAAUCGGACUCCCCGCCGUGGCUCUGAAGCAGAGGGUUAGAGUCUUUAGGCGUCCACGGAGGUGGACCAACAUGCAUGGCAGACACGUGCGCAUCACUAUUACAUUCUGAGCAUUGGAUAAUGGCUUUACAGUCUUUAGCUCUGUGACUUGUGGAAGAACAACACUUAUAACAAAUAGCGUGUUCUUUGAGAAUACCUUUUCUUUCGUCCAGUGUUUUUUACCUAAAUCCCCUGCAUUUAGCGAGCGAAUGAGGCUUGUGGUGAAUAGGACAUUGCUUGUCCGGAUUACGAACGGAUGCUUGAGCUGUGCUGUUAGUUUGACUAAUAUAUGUUUUGUUCACUGCAACAGGAACUCUGUAUCUGUUUGGUUUUAUCAGUGUCUUGUCAACUCUUGGAGCUACUAUGUUAGCGCUUUGUAAAAUAAAGCUAGGGUCUGUUUUCAUAUCAGCAUAGUUAUUUACAAACUGAACGAAGAAUGAGAAAGGUGGGUAAACUGCACCAUUGUCUCUUUUGUAUUUUGUCCCUUGUUUUACCCAUGACUCCUGGAGUCCGUAAGGGAGCUUUUCAACUAUCGGGUUUAUCCCCCUUGGGGUGUCAAGAAAGCUAAGGCCUGGCAGAUAACCUUCAUUUCGUGCAUAUUCUAACACUAGCAGAAGAUCUGCAAGCUCCUGCAGCUGGUGAGCAUCUUUAUUGGAUAUCUUUGGAAAAGCCUGUAAGCGUUGGAAGAGUGACGCUUCGACUACCUCUGGAGAGCCAUAACUCUUGUCUAGACGCUGCCACAAACGUUGGAGGCCUGCUUGUGGGUUGUUCACGUGGACCGCCCUGAUCCUCAGGGCGUGUUGAAGUGAUUCCCCGCUGAGCCACUUGGUUAGAAGGUCAAGCUCUUCGCUGGGCUUGAGGUUGAGGCCUUCUAUGGCGUUGCAGAAGAUGGACUUCCAGGACAAGUAGGACUCAGGGCGGUUGUCGAAAACCUUGAAUCCCGCUGUCAGUAGAUCACGGCGUGCUAGAUAGGCUGCUAGAUCCGGCAGCUCAGUCUGUGGAGUCGCUGAAGGUCUAGGCUGAGGUGGAAUGUCCAUUUUUAUGUGUGUAGGGGGGAACUUCAGCUGCUCCCGGUCUACAAAAUCAAUGAGAUGUUCACCUGGAGCGGUAGCGACUGGUGUUUGGCUCUGUUGUAGAUGGUGAGAGUCGUUAUGACUGACCAGUUGUUUUUUGUCAGGCUUUUCUUCUUGUUUCACUAGCGAACUGAAGUCGGCGAAGUGAGCAUUCACAUAGUCUUGAGCACGUCUGAUGGAAGGAGGCGUCUUAGGGAGAUGCCUUGCUCAGUGAGGUCGGUUCCAGGAAUGACAGAACACAGUUUUUUUCUUAGUGCCUUUACUGAAGACCUCUCUUUUUUGAUUGAUUUGUAAAACUAUUAUGGCAUGUCAAGCUUCCCAAAGAUAUAAGAGGUAUGAGAGGAGUGAAGCAUGUCAGCACCUCCGGAC